rnacentral:sRNA from 1 species
GUGCACAUGCUAGGGAGAGUCCUGGUGGGAAUGCGGCCGUCCGGGGAGAAGGCCACAGAUAAGCCUCGGUGAAAACCAGGACGAAAGACAAAUAUCGAGUGGUGUACACGGACCACCAGCGGCUGGAGCUGGAGAAGGAGUUUCACUACAGUCGCUACAUCACCAUCCGGAGGAAAGCCGAGCUAGCCGCCACGCUAGGGCUCUCUGAGAGGCAGGUUAAAAUCUGGUUUCAGAACCGCAGAGCAAAGGAGAGGAAAAUCAACAAGAAGAAGUUGCAGCAGCAACAGCAGCAGCAGCCACCACAGCCGCCUCCGCCGCCACCACAGCCUCCCCAGCCUCAGCCAGGUCCUCUGAGAAGUGUCCCGGAGCCCUUGAGUCCAGUGUCUUCCCUGCAAGCCUCAGUGCCUGGCUCUGUCCCUGGGGUUCUGGGGCCAACUGGGGGGGUGCUAAGCCCCACCGUCACCCAGUGACCCACAGGGGUCUGCAGCGGCAGAGCAAUUCCAGGCUGAGCCAUGAGGAGCGUGGACUCUGGUAGACUCCUCAGGAGAGACCCCUCCCCUCCCGCCCACAGCCAUAGACCU